UACGUAGGGGGCGAGCGUUGUCCGGAUUUACUGGGCGUAAAGCGCACGCAGGCGGUCUGCUAAGUUUGGAGUGACAGUUGGUGGCUUAACUGCCAAAGUGCUUCGAAAACUGACAGACUUGAGGGCUUCAGAGGGACACGGAAUUCCGAGUGUAGGGGUGAAAUUCGUAGAUAUUCGGAAGAACACCAGUGGCGAAGGCGACUCGCUGGACACGUAUUGACGCUGAGGUGCGAAAGCGUGGGGAGCAAACAGG
rnacentral:rRNA from 1 species